AAAUUGAAGAGUUUGAUCAUGGCUCAGAUUGAACGCUGGCGGCAGGCCUAACACAUGCAAGUCGAACGGUAACAGAAAGCAGCUUGCUGCUUUGCUGACGAGUGGCGGACGGGUGAGUAAUGUCUGGGAAACUGCCUGAUGGAGGGGGAUAACUACUGGAAACGGUGGCUAAUACCGCAUAACGUCGCAAGACCAAAGAGGGGGACCUUCGGGCCUCUUGCCAUCAGAUGUGCCCAGAUGGGAUUAGCUUGUUGGUGAGGUAACGGCUCACCAAGGCGACGAUCCCUAGCUGGUCUGAGAGGAUGACCAGCCACACUGGAACUGAGACACGGUCCAGACUCCUACGGGA
rnacentral:rRNA from 1 species